UACGUAGGGGGCGAGCGUUAUCCGGAUUCACUGGGUGUAAAGGGAGCGUAGACGGCCAUGCAAGCCAGGGGUGAAAGCCCGGGGCCCAACCCCGGGACUGCCCUUGGAACUGCAUGGCUGGAGUGCGGGAGGGGCAGGCGGAAUUCCUGGUGUAGCGGUGAAAUGCGUAGAUAUUAGGAGGAACACCAGUGGCGAAGGCGGCCUGCUGGACGACAACUGACGGUGAGGCGCGAAAGCGUGGGGAGCAAACAGG
rnacentral:rRNA from 1 species